rnacentral:rRNA from 1 species
GACGAACGCUGGCGGCGUGCUUAACACAUGCAAGUCGAACGGAAAGGCCCUGCUUUUGUGGGGUGCUCGAGUGGCGAACGGGUGAGUAACACGUGAGUAACCUGCCCUUGUCUUUGGGAUAACUUCAGGAAACUGGGGCUAAUACCGGAUAGGAGCUCCUGCUGCAUGGUGUGGGUUGGAAAGUUUCGGCGGUUGGGGAUGGACUCGCGGCUUAUCAGCUUGUUGGUGGGGUAGUGGCUUACCAAGGCUUUGACGGGUAGCCGGCCUGAGAGGGUGACCGGCCACAUUGGGACUGAGAUACGGCCCAGACUCCUACGGGAGGCAGCAGUGGGGAAUAUUGCACAAUGGGCGGAAGCCUGAUGCAGCAACGCCGCGUGCGGGAUGACGGCCUUCGGGUUGUAAACCGCUUUCGCCUGUGACGAAGCGUGAGUGACGGUAAUGGGUAAAGAAGCACCGGCUAACUACGUG